CAGUUCGGAUUGUAGGCUGCAACUCGCCUACAUGAAGUCGGAGUUGCUAGUAAUCGCGGAUCAGCCAUGGCGCGGUGAAUACGUUCCCGGGCCUUGUACACACCGCCCGUCAAGCCAUGGGAGCCGGGGGUGCCUGAAGUUCGUGACCGCAAGGAGCGACCUAGGACAAAACUGGUGACUGGGGCUAAGUCGUAACAAGGUAGC
rnacentral:rRNA from 1 species